GCUUACGGCCAUACCACCCUGAGCAUGCCCAAUCUUGUCCGAUCUCGGAAGCUAAGCAGGGUCAGGCCUGAUUAGUACUUGAAUGGGAGACCGCCUGGAAAUACCAGGUGCUGUAAGCU
rnacentral:rRNA from 1 species